GCGGGUAUAAAUUAAUGGCAAAUUGUUUGCCUUCCAAGCAAGAGAUAUGAGUUCGAAUCUCAUUACCCGCUA
rnacentral:tRNA from 1 species